UAAUAACAAACUCAGAGAAUGGGAAGCAAGAAAAGGAGAGCAUGAAGUACACAGAUGAUAACAAAUAAUCCAGAAUUAUCAAGUCAAGAUCAAGGCCAAAACCAGCAAGGUCCAUAGACUCCCUAUCACUGGAUGAUCAAAGCAGGUGUUCUACUAGAGAGAAGAUAAAAAUGUGGAUUGUGUGCAGCAUUCGGCAGGGACAGAGGACACUAAUAUCAAUGCC
rnacentral:lncRNA from 1 species